rnacentral:sRNA from 1 species
CGCACCGGCAGUGGGAAGUCCUCCUUCUCUCUUGCCUUCUUCCGCAUGGUGGACACGUUCGAAGGUGAGUUGUAAGGCGGGCACCCCACGUGUACCCACAGCCACCAGAUGAGGCCUCAGCCCUGGCACGUGGUCAGACAUGACAGGAGGCCCAGCAGUCACCGCCUUCCCCUGCACCCUCACUGGGACCCAUGCAGGGCACAUCAUCAUUGAUGGCAUUGACAUCGCCAAACUGCCGCUGCACACCCUGCGCUCACGCCUCUCCAUCAUCCUGCAGGACCCCGUCCUCUUCAGCGGCACCAUCCGAUGCCAUCAUCACAGAAGGCGGGGAGAAUUUCAGCCAGGGGCAGAGGCAGCUGUUCUGCCUGGCUCGGGCCUUCGUGAGGAAGACCAGCAUCUUCAUCAUGGACGAGGCCACGGCUUCCAUUGACAUGGCCACGGAAAACAUCCUCCAAAAGGUGGUGAUGACAGCCUUCGCAGACCGCACUGUGGUCACCAUCGCGCUGCAGGAGGGCCACCCUCAGCUGUGGCCCCCACCGCGGGUGGUGUUCCCACCAUCCUGACCCGCCCCCUCCUGCCCUGCCCAGCAUCGAGUGCACACCAUCCUGAGUGCAGACCUGGUGAUCGUCCUGAAGCGGGGUGCCAUCCUUGAGUUCGAUAAGCCAGAGAAGCUGC